UGUUUGUUACAGAUAAUAGUUUUGGAAACAGAAAACUGUUUCCUGUUUCCAAAUGUUCCAUCAAUGAGCAAAGUAGCAGAAUGUUGGACAAAAUACAUCUCGCUCCUUAUUUUCCCUCUACCGGCCACUGGUUUUCUCCUCAUUACCAUAUUUGGUAGUUAGUGGAAACGCCAACCGGAUGCUUCACAUUUAUACAUCCGGUGAAAUAUCUGGCUCAUUGUUCAACGGGUGUAAAGCCACAGAACAAUCUCCGUCUCGCGAUAGUCUGAACGAAGGCGAGAGAAGGGUAGUUACCACAGCCACAAAGUCGUAAACGCCCGCAUACGCGACCAAUCCGAUGAGGGAGUGUGAUGGCGGUGAUUAUACACUAGAUUACGGUAAAUUGCCGUUUAUGCCGCCCAUUGUAACUCGAUUGUGGGCGUGCUGGCAGCCUUUCGAUCGUGCGUCAAGAAUUCAGCAUAGCAAGUUUGUAUGAAGGUCUGGUUAUUAAAUUGAUACAUAGUUCAAUAGUAAUAUCCUCUAAAACGCUCAGAUGACACACUUUGCUGCCCUGUUUCCAAUUGUCCACAUGGCUGGGAGAAUCUAUUCAAUACAAUAGGAGACAGACAGAUAUCUCCUUUCGUCGUUAAUAUCAAUCAUAAAGGAAAAGGGCAAAGUACGAGAGUCAUGCUAUUACUUGUCCAAAGCAGGGAUGGAGCGUGAGCUAGUGAGGUAGGCUGCAGUGGGUUUGUUGGUCAAUACAUAUACUGAACAUGUAACCACAGUAGUGCCCAGCAAAUAAAAAUAUAAUAUUGACAAAUUAAACAAAUUGUAGACCUUUAAUCUUUUCCAACAUGUCAAGACACUUAAUUUAAAUCAAUUAUGAAACAUUUCACAGUGUUAACUUUCUCUUUAUCCCUGGUUGAUGUACCUGUCAGAGCCUCUUCAGUGUGGAUGGGGUAUAGCAUACAUUUUCAAAAACAAAGACUGCACUUCCAGUGUGUGUUCUUUACUCUGUUGAACUCUUUUGUCUUCAUUCUUAGGCACAGCACAUGGAACCACCGUUGGCAUGCAAAACAUUCAAACGAAACAAAGCGUAACACGUUAUAAAUAAUAUCAAAUAUCAAUGCAGUAUGACGAAUUAGCCAUCCAUUGUGUUAUAUCAUAAAUUGUCAAAUGAAUACACAAGACAAAUUUGUAUGCUGUUUUCCUUAUCAAUAUAAUCUAGUAGUAAUUUAUUAGAGGUAAUUUCCUUUAUGCCCCAUUCUACACACAGCCUAAAUUAUAAGCACUGAACCAUUUACAGGACAAUAAAAGUAGCAUAUAGGAUCCAACCCUAUCACUGAGUGAAUAAAUGUACUGUCGUGGGCAAAAGUUUUGAGAAUGACACAUAUAAAGUUUCACAAAGUCUGCUGCCUCAGUUUGUAUGAUGGCAAUUUUCAUAUACUCCAGAAUGUUAUGAAGGGUGAUCAGAUGAAUUGCAAAGUCCCUCUUUGCCAUGCAAAUGAACUGAAUCCCCCAAAAACAUUUCCACUGCAUUUCAGCCCUGCCACAAAAGGACCAGCUGACAUCAUGUCAGUGAUUCUCUUGUUAACACAGGUGUGAGUGUUGACGAAGACAAGGCUGGAGAUCACUCUGUCAUGCUGAUUGAGUUCGAAUAACAGACUGGAAGCUUCAAAAUGAGGGUGGUGCUUGGAAUCAUUGUUCUUCCUCUAUCAAUCAUGGUUACCUGCAAGGAAACAGGUGCCAUCAUCAUUGCUUUGCACAAAAAGGGCUUCACAGGCAAGGAUAUUGCUGCCAGUAAGAUUGCACCUAAAUCAACCAUUUAUUCAAUCAUCAAGAACUUCAAGGAGAGCGGUUCAAUUGUUGUGAAGAAGGCUUCAGGGCGCCCAAGAAAGUCCAGCAAGCGCCAGGACCAAAAGGUUAGAGCUGCCAUUUAAGGAGCGGGCCACUAAGAAGAAAUCGCCCCUCUGACAAACCAUCAAACAGCCAAAGCGUCAAUAAAGGAGAAAGAUCUGUCACACCCUGAUCUUUUUUCACCUGUCUUUGUGCUUGUCUUCACUCCACCCUGAUCUGUUUCACCUGUCUGUGUGCUUGUCUCCACCCCCCUCAAGGUGUCAUCCAUCUUCCCUAUUAUCCCCAGUGUAUUUAUACAUGUGUUCUCUCUGUCUGUUCCCAGUUUGUCUUGGCUUGUCAAGCCUACCAGUGUGUUUUUCCGUGCUCCUGUUUUUCCUAGUCUCUGUUUUCUAGCCUUCCUGGUUCUGACCUGUUCUGCCUGCCCUGACACUGAGCCCGCCUGCCUUCCCAUUCUGCCUGCCUUAACCUCGAGCCUGCCUGCCCCCCUGUACCUUUCGGACUCUGACCUGGUUAAUGUAUUUGGCGCAUGUGACAAAUAGAAUUUCAUCAAAUCUAAAUCAAACUUUAUCUCUCCUCAACCUGCCUAUUGCCUGCCCCUUGUAUUCUAAUACAUAUCAGAGAUUCAAACCAUCUGCCUCCUGUGUCUGCAUCUGGGUCUCGCCAUGUGACGUUAUAAGAUCUAAACCUACUAUACCGGCUCUGACGCUCGUCGGAUGUGGCAGGGCUUGCAAACUAUCACGGAUUGCGAAGGGACACCCAUUCAGGACCACGGCCCCAUACCGGAUCAGAUGACCAGAGAGAAGGGUCAGGCCCAGGCUAUCCACAUCAACAGCCAGAGCAGGAAGCCCAUCUCAAUGAGUCAGACCAGUGAACAAAUCCCCAGCCACCACAUCCAGGGCCUUCCAGAUACAGGCUGGUACUGUACUGCCUCUUACCUCUACACCACCAGGCUAGCCCAGCCAUAUAAUGUUUAGGCCCAGCACAACUGACUGAAUGGGCGAGAACUGUCUCCUACCUCUACUGGUGUAAAGUUAGGACACUAGUAUAGCCCAGCCCUGAUACGUGGCCGAAGUAGACGCCGCAAAGCAUAGGAGUCAACAGGCAUGUAUCAGGGCUAGCCCAGCCAUAUAAUGUUUAGGCCCAGCACAACUGACUGAAGGACCAACAGAACUGACUGAAUGGGCGAGAACUGUCUCCUACCUCUACUGGUGUAAAGUUAGGACACUAGUAUAGCCCAGCCCUGAUACGUGGCCGAAGUAGACGCCGCAAAGCAUAGGAGUCAACAGGCAUGUAUCAGGGCUAGCCCAGUCUGACUAAAUACUUUUUUGCCCCACUGUAGCUGACUUUGCCUUAGUUCAAAUUCAGGUUGGCAGGACAAUGAAUGUAAAAGGCAUUUCUCACAAUGGUUGUACAUUUUAUUAAGUUAUGCAGUAAUACCAGGAUGUUGAUGUUAAAAUGUCACUAUCCGAGCUAGAGAAAAUAUGAUCCCAACUAGAAGGUUAUUCUGUGCAACACUGACAUCUUCUGGCUCACAUGAUGUAAAUGAAUAAAAGCUCAAAAUAGUUAAAUCAAAUAAAAAUGUAUUUUAUUGAUCAUAUACAAAUGGAUAGUAGAUGUUAUUGCAAGUGUAGCGAAAUGUUUAUGCUUCUAAAUCUGACCGUGCAGCAGUAUCUAACAGGUCAUAUCUAACAAAUUCCACAACAAAAUCUAAUACACACAAUCUAGUAAAGGAAUGGGAUGAGAAUAUAUAAGUAUAAAAUAGAUUGAUGAGCAGUGACAGAGCGGCUAAGAUGCAAUAGAUAGUAAAGAAUAGAUAGUGAAGGAUACAGUAUAUACAUAUGAGAUGAGUAAUGCGAGAUAUGUAAAUAUUCUUCAAGUGGCAUUAUUAAAGUGGCCAAUGAUAUCUCUGUGCUAGUGGUGGCUGUAUAACAAUCUCAUGGCCUUGAGAUAGAAGCUGUUUUUUUUUAUCUCUCUGUACCAGCUUUGAUGCACUUGUACUGACCUCGCCGGGGUGAACAGGUAGUGGAGGUGGAUAUUGUCAUUGAUUAUAUUUUUUUGCCUUCCUGUGACAUCGGGGUUGUAGGUGUCCUGGAGGGCAGGUAGGUUGCCCCCGGUGAUGCGUUGUGCAGACCGCACCACCCUCUGGAGAGUUGCAGUACCAGGCGGUGAUUCAGCCCGAUAGGAUGCUCUCAAAUGUGAACCUGUAAAAGUUAGUGAGGGUUUUUGGUGACAAGCCACUUUUUUUCAGUCUCCUGAGGUUGGAGAAGCCCUGUUGCGCCUUCUUCACCACACUGUGUGCAUGGACCAUUUCAGUUAUUUAGAAGAUAAAAGGUAUUCACGUCUCUAGUCAUGUCAUCCAAUAAUAUAUUCCAUGAUCUAAUAAAAGCAUUGUUCAGCUUUG